AAACCAGCACCUCAAGUGGUCAGGAUGAUUAUUGGGCCUAAAGCAUCCGUAGCCGGCUCUGUAAGUUUUCGGUUAAAUCUGUACGCUUAACAUACAGGCUGCCGGGAAUACUGCAGAGCUAGGGAGUGGGAGAGGUAGACGGUACUCGGGAGGAAGUGGUAAAAUGCUUUGAUCUCUCGAUGACCACCUGUGGCGAAGGCGGUCUACCAGAACACGUCCGACGGUGAGGGAUGAAAGCUGGGGGAGCAAACCGGAUUAGAAACCCCAGUAGUCC
rnacentral:rRNA from 1 species